GACGUUUCAAGUGUUUAAUACCAAAGAUACAGCCAGUGCAUACAUUUAGAAAGAUCACAACACAUCAUGUACUUUUCCCUCCUUUUGGUCACCACCCUCUUGUAGACAUCACCUCCUCAGCUAUACAUUUUAUGACCCCAAUGAGUUUCCCUCCUUUCCCCUGUCCAUGGUCCUCUCUUUGUUUAGCCAGAUGUCAGAAUCACACCUCGUCCAUCUUCUGUCCUGAGCCUGACCCUGCUCUCUGAUCCUAGGCCAUUUCCUCUUAUCUAAGUCAUGGUUUCUAAACUAGCAAACACACAGUUUCAUGACCUAAACUGCAUUAAUACUCACAGUAAUCAUUCACUAAACAGGAUACAAACAAACUACAGUUUAACUUGAAACGUGUUACAUUUUAAUAGAAUCCAUAUCAGAUUGAAGCAGAAGUGCAUUGAACUGGGCCUGGCAGAAUGUUCAACUCGUAGUAAACAGCUGAUCUUACUGUAGAGAUGGGGAGACCAUACUUUAACAUACUGGACAAUAUCAAUGUUCAGAUGACAGCCAGGUUUGGACAAUAUCAAUGUUCAGAUGACAGCCAGGUUUGGACAAUAUCAAUGUUCAGAUGACAGCCAGGUUUGGACAAUAUCAAUGUUCAGAUGACAGCCAGGUUUGGACAAUAUCAAUGUUCAGAUGACAGCCAGGUUUGACCACCUUACUUAUUAGGUAUUUUGGCAAUGAGGCCCUUUAUCUACUGACCCAGAGUCAGAUGAGGUCCUUUAUCUACUGACCCAGAGUCAGAUGAGGCCCUUUAUCUACUGACCCAGAGUCAGAUGAGGCCCUUUAUCUACUGACCCAGAGUCCCGUGCAUACAAUUGUAAUGUCUCUGCAUGCAGUUUGAAGGAAGUUGCUAACUAGCGCUAGCGCAAUGACUGGAAGUCUAUGGGUAUCUGCUAGCAUGCAUUAGCGCAAUGACUUUAAAAAUAAAGUAAAACUAUGUUUGAUGUCUUCUGUGCCCAUAUGAAUAAGCCCUAUGAUGUAACUGGAAUGAUGAGAUCGAUGUUCUUCUUCUAUGUUUUUGUUUUAUUAUUUUACUGCCAUACUGUGUUGGAUCUUGUCUAGCCAUCUUGUCGCCAGAGUACCACAAUGGAAAUAAGUCCCAGACUUUAUUUUAACCUGUUGGGUCUAGGGGGCAGCAUUUGCACGUCUGGAUAAAAAAAAUGUACCCGAUUUAAUCUGGUUACUAAUCCUACCCAGUAACUAGAAUAUGCAUAUACUUAUUAUAUAUGGAUAGAAAACACUCUAAAGUUUCUAAAACUGUUUGAAUGGUGUCUGUGAGUAUAACAGAACUCAUUUGGCAGGCAAAACCCUGAGACAUUUUCUGACAGGAAGUGGAUACCUGAUGUUGACUUUAAACCUAUCCCAUUGAAAAACACAGGGGCUUAGGAAUAUUUUGGCACUUCCUAUUGCUUCCAC
rnacentral:lncRNA from 1 species